AUAGAACCUGAAACCGGAUGCAUACAAACAGUGGGAGCCUCGAAAGGGGUGACUGCGUACCUUUUGUAUAAUGGGUCAGCGACUUACGUUCAGUAGCAAGCUUAACCGAAUAGGGGAGGCGUAGGGAAACCGAGUCCGAAUAGGGCGUUCAGUUGCUGGGCGUAGACCCGAAACCAAGUGAUCUAUCCAUGGCCAGGUUGAAGGUGCGGUAACACGCACUGGAGGACCGAACCCACUAAUGUUGCAAAAUUAGGGGAUGAGCUGUGGAUAGGGGUGAAAGGCUAAACAAACUUGGAAAUAGCUGGUUCUCUCCGAAAACUAUUUAGGUAGUGCCUCAGGUAUUACUGACGGGGGUAGAGCACUGUUAUGGCUAGGGGGUCAUCGCGACUUACCAACCCAUGGCAAACUCCGAAUACCGUCAAGUACGAGCCUGGGAGACAGACAUCGGGUGCUAACGU
rnacentral:rRNA from 1 species